UCUCCGUUGGUGAACCAGCGGAGGGAUCAUUACUGAGUUACCGCUCUACAACCCUUUGUGAACAUACCUAACUGUUGCUUCGGCGGGCAGAGGCCCCUCGCGGAUCUCUCCCGGCAACGCCCUCACGGGCGGAGCGCCCGCCGGAGGAUACCAAACUCUAUUUUAACGACGUUUCUUCUGAGUGGCACAAGCAAAUAAUUAAAACUUUUAACAACGGAUCUCUUGGUUCUG
rnacentral:misc_RNA from 1 species